rnacentral:rRNA from 1 species
GGCCGCCUGGCCGCGGGAUUUCCGUAGGUGAACCUGCGGAAGGACCAUUGGCACACUCUGGUAUGGUACAUACUCCACAUUCCAUAAUGUGAAGUCCUCAUCGGUCCCGCCGUCCCGCAUUGCGGGUUCCUCUCUCCGUGCGAGAAAAAUCACUUCUGUAGGUUGGUUCUAAAACGAGAAACUACUUCUUUGUAGCGGUGAAUGUCUUGGCUCGAGUCACAAUGAAGGACGCAGCGAACUGCGAAACGCAUCGUGAAUUGCGAAGUUCCGGGAAUCGAUAGAUGGCUGAACGCAUGCGGCGCUCUCUCGAGAGUGCAUCUGGAUCGGUGUUGCCUGUUUCAGGACCGCACGGAAACCUUGUUUCCGGGCGUGAGUGUGAUACGCCGUACGGCGGGCUCCUUGCCAGCCCUGCUCUGCGGUGUCGAAAUCCAGCGUCACAGCCAAAGGGCCGGUUUCUGCCUUGAUUUAGUUCUUUGCAGCGAACUCAGGCCAUUUGUGUGUCUCUCGAAUUCUCUUUCUUGCUCUCAACCCGAUCUCAGGUGCGGUUACCCACUGAAUUUAAGCAUAUCAAUAAGCGGAGGC